rnacentral:lncRNA from 1 species
AAAAAAAGAAAGUUUAAAAAAAAGAAAGAAAAGUAAGAGAAGGGGCCGAGAAUAUAAAUUAGUUCACCCCUUUAAAUGCACAGAACAGGGGGUCAACGUGGUUCGUUUAAAAAUGCACAUCAGGAGUUCCCAUUGUAGCUCCGUGAGUUAAGGACCUGACAUAGUCUCCAUGAGGACGCGGGUUCUAUCCAUGGUCUUGAUCAGCAGGGGAAAGAUGUACCGUGGCCCCAAGCUGUGGACAUAGGUCACAGGUGUGGCUCGGAACCCGUGCAGCUGCGGCUGUGGUGUAGACUAGCAGAUGCAGCUCCACUUUGACCCCUAGCCUGGCAGCUUCCAUAUGCUGUGGGUGCAGCUGUAAAAAGGAAAAAAAAAGCACAUCAAUGAGUCGAAUGGUAUUACGCCCCAUGAAAUAAACCAAAGACAAAGACUCUGUGAUAUCCCACAUGGAAUCUAAACACUACAACGAACUGGUGAAUAUAAGAAAAAAAGCAGCAGGCUCACGGGAUCUAAAGAACAAACGAGUGGUUCCCAGCGGGGAGAGGGAAGGAGGAGUAGCAGGUGGGAGGGAGGAAGAGCAAAGAAUUCACCUAAGAAAUGUUUUUUCUUCUUUUUAAAGCCAUACCUGCGGCACUAUGGAAGCUCCCAGGCUAAGGGUCAAAUUGGAUUUGCAGCUGAAGCUACACCACAGCCACAGCCAUGCCAGAUCCGAGCCCCAUAUGCAACCUACACCACAGCUUUCAGCAACCCCAGAUUCUUAACCCACUGAGCAAGGCCAGGGAUCGAACCCACAUCCUCACAGACACAACACUGAGUCCUUAGCCUGCUGAGCCACAAAGGGAAUUCCAGAAUUUUUUUUUAAUGCACAUCAAUGUGAAAUAGUAGAUUUUAUUCUCCUGAUUAACAAAAAAACAGGAAAAAAAGAAAAAGGAAAAAAAAAUUAGCAAAUACAGCAGCUAAGAUCUGCAGAAAGGCAUUCCCUUAAACCAUCACAUGAGUAGAACAGGAGGGAUAUUCUCUGUGAAUUUCUCAAACUCUAUCAAAAUUUAAAAGAUGAAUACUCAGAGUUCCC